rnacentral:rRNA from 1 species
UACGAAGGGGGCGAGCGUUGUUCGGAAUUACUGGGCGUAAAGGGCGCGCAGGCGGCUCUGAAAGUCAGAUGUGAAAGCCCCGGGCUUAACCUGGGAAUUGCAUUUGAUACUCUGGAGCUUGAGUACGGGAGAGGAGAGUGGAAUUCCCAGUAUAGGGGUGAAAUUCGUAGAUAUUGGGAAGAACACCGGUGGCGAAGGCGGCUCUCUGGACCGUAACUGACGCUGAGGCGCGAAAGCGUGGGGAGCAAACAGG